UGCAGUCGAGCGCAGGAAGCGAGCUGAUCCCCUUCGGGGGUGACGCUCGUGGAAUGAGCGGCGGACGGGUGAGUAACACGUGGGCAACCUGCCUGUAAGAUCGGAAUAACUCCGGGAAACCGGAGCUAAUGCCGGGUAACAUGUUCCUUCGCAUGAAGGAACAUUAAAAGAUGGCUUCUCGCUAUCACUUACAGAUGGGCCCGCGGCGCAUUAGCUAGUUGGUGAGGUAACGGCUCACCAAGGCAACGAUGCGUAGCCGACCUGAGAGGGUGAUCGGCCACACUGGGACUGAGACACGGCCCAGACUCCUACGGGAGGCAGCAGUAGGGAAUCUUCCGCAAUGGACGAAAGUCUGACGGAGCAACGCCGCGUGAACGAUGAAGGUCUUCGGAUCGUAAAGUUCUGUUGUUAGGGAAGAACAAGUACCGUGCGAAUAGAGCGGUACCUUGACGGUACCUAACGAGGAAGCCCCGGCUAACUACGUGCCAGCAGCCG
rnacentral:rRNA from 1 species